AGGUGAACUUGGUGGCUGGUUCAUCUGGUUAUAUCCCAAACCCCCGCAGUCAUGAUGAACAACCUAUUAAAAUCUUGGGUUGUGAAUUUUGUCUCGGUGGCCACCCAGAUGGGAGAAACUCUCCCGGAAAUUGCAAAGGCACACCCUGCGAGAGUAACAUCUGAGGAGGUGGUUCACCUGUCCCAAAAUUUGACAUUUUAUAAUUCGGAUUUGGCUGGUUGGGAAGGGACUUGUCCCGAACCAACCUGGGAUUGCAUUAAACAUCUGCCAGAGGUUGAUGAGGUCUUGGAACCCAUUGGAUCACCUCCAAUGACCGGGGCUGAAGAAGCACCAGAGGAGGAUGUGGUAGACGUGGAGCCGAGAUCUCCCUCUGGCCCUGCAAUUGCUUCAACAGAUAGAGUAAGUCCCAUUCUUGGUGCCGUGGGGGGAACAACUGAUGUGGGAACGCCAGUCGUGAAGAUCCCUGAUCAACACCCAGCAUGUCCGUGCUGUGGCACCAGGAUGGGGAAAGCUGCGGCUUUGAUUGACCAUCUAAAGAGGGCCCACAGCCGGCGAAGAAUUCUCUUCCAGUGUUCCCGAUGUGCAAAAAGUGACGUUAAACAUCAUAGUAUCGCCUGCCACUUCCCGAAGUGCCAGGGAGCCCUAGAUCUCCAAAGAGAAGAGGAUGCCUCGGAGGACCCUGGUAUAUGGCGAUGUAGGGAAUGUGACUGCCAGUUUAAGACCAAGAGUGGCCUGUCACAACACAAGAGACUCGUGCACCCACAGACUAGGAACUUGGAAUGGAUUGAAGUGUCUCGACCAAAGAAAAAGAGACUGCGAGGCAUGCAUAAGAGCUGCUGGACGGAAGAAAAGAUGGCUCUACUGCUAGAGUUGGAAGAAAGAUACAAGACCAAGCGCUUUAUCAAUAAACUGAUCGGAGAGCAUUUGCCCACGAAAACAGCAAAGCAGAUCAGCGACGAGACGACAGCUUGCAGCUGGUGCGAAUGCAUCGGCACCACCAAGAACAGCUGCAGCAGUGUGCACUGGGGAGCCCCCGGUGGAGAGGGAGAGGGCGGAGAUGAUAAGAAAGGAAUAUAGGAAAGUUAUGGCGGAGAAGAUACGAGCAGGUUCCCUGCCUGCAAGCCAAAUGAUCACAUGUAGGAGGAUCUUAGAGGAUGGCAAAGAUGCCCAGAAAGUCAUCGAAGCGUCAGCAGUAGAGUGGUUAUCACAGCUGGCGGGGCACAUCACCGUAGCAAAAUUGAAACAAUGUAGGAAGCAUCAAGCAAGACCCGCGCCUCUGAGAGAGGUAAGAAGAUGGAUGAAGAACAGGGCAGUGAAACGGGAGUUAUACCUCCGAUACUAGCGGCUCUUUGAGAUAGAUCGCAAGAAGCUUGCUGGUAUCAUCUUGGA
rnacentral:lncRNA from 1 species